GAUGAAGAACGCAGCGAAAUGCGAUAAUUAAUGUGAAUUGCAGAAUUCCGUGAAUCAUCGAGUCUUUGAACGCACAUUGCGCCUCAUGGCAUUCCGUGAGGCAUGCCCAUCUCAGCGUUAGAAAAUAUUCUCAAAUUUUAGUUUUGUGCUAAAAUUUGGAUCAUGUCAAGGAAGCUAUUACUAUUAUUGUAAUCGCUCUUUGGAAAUUGAUAGGUCUUUGAGUUGCUACUCAUAGAACGUGAUGAAUCUUUCUUCGUUCUAUUGUAAUUCACUCUGGUAGUCCUAAAACUUGUAUGCCUGUGGCAUAUCUUGUAAUUUGACCUGAGAUUGGGUAGGGAUACCCGCUGAACUUAAGCAUAUCAAUAAGCGGAGGA
rnacentral:misc_RNA from 1 species